UUCGGGAUCUGUGUUUUUUUUAAAGGUUUUGAGGAGAGAUUUCCUUCGAGUUUUAGUCUUUGUUUUUAGUUUAAUGACCCUUUGGUAAUACAGAGUUCGGUUUGAUGACACAUUCGGGAUCUGUGUUUUUUUUAAGGUUUUGAGGAGAGAUUUCCUUCGAUUUUUAGUCUUUGUUUUUAAUGACCCUUUGGUAAUACAGAGUUCGGUUUGAUGACACAUUCGGGAUCUGUGUUUUUUUUUUAAGGUUUUGAGGAGAGAUUUCCUUCGAGUUUUAGUCUUUGUUUUUAGUUUAAUGACCCUUUGGUAAUACAGAGUUCGGUUUGAUGACACAUUCGGGAUCUGUGUUUUUUUUAAGGUUUUGAGGAGAGAUUUCCUUCGAUUUUUAGUUAUGUUUAGGGUUAGGUUAAGAUUUAGGUUAUGUUUAGGGCUAGGUUUAGAUUUAGGUUAUGUUUAGGGUUAGGGUUAGGGUUAGGGUUAGGUUUAGGGUUAGGUUUUAGGUUUAGGUUAUGUUUAGGGCUAGGUUUAGA